GCCAAACAGCUAGCUCAAUUACCCAAUAACUAAACAAUAUAAAUAAAACAAAAUAAGCCUAACACCAAAAAUUAAAUCAUUCUUUUACCUUAGUAUGGGCGACAGAAAAGGUUACACCUGGAGCAAUAGAAAAAGUACCGCAAGGGAAAGCUGAAAGAGAAAUGAAAUAACUUAUAUAAGCACCAAAAAGCAAAGAUUAAAUCUUGUACCUUUCGCAUCAUGAUUUAGCCAGUAUAUCCAAGCAAAGAGACCUUUAGUUUGAAACCCCGAAACCAAGUGAGCUACCCCGAGACAGCCUAUUAAGGGCCAACCCGUCUCUGUGGCAAAAGAGUGGGAAGAGCUCCGGGUAGAGGUGACAGACCUACCGAACUUGGUGAUAGCUGGUUGCCUAAGAAGUGAAUAGAAGUUCAGCCUCGUACUCCCUGAGUCAAAAGAUAUAAAAAGAUAUUAGAGGGAAAUAUAUGAGAGUUAGUUAAAGGGGGUACAGCCCCUUUAACAAAGGACACAACCUUUCCAGGAGGAUAAAGAUCAUAAUACAUAAGACAUCCUGUUCUAGUGGGCCUAAAGGCAGCCAUCUAAACAGAAAGCGUUAAAGCUCAGACAGAAAUAAGUUUAUUAUUCCGACAAGAAAUCUUACUCCCCUAAAUAUUAUUAGGCCAGCCCAUGCCCACAUGGGAGAGACUAUGCUAAAAUGAGUAACAAGAAGGCCAGCCCUUCUCCAAGCACAAGUGUAAGCCAAACCGGACCGACCAUUGGCAAUUAACGAACUCAACCCGAGAGAGUAAUGUGUAUUACAACGAAACCAGGGAGAACCCACAAUUAACCCAUCGUUACCCCCACACUGGCGUGCUAUUAAAGGAAAGACUAAAAGAAGGGAAAGGAACUCGGCAAACACAAGCCUCGCCUGUUUACCAAAAACAUCGCCUCCUGCAACACAACCAAGUAUAGGAGGUCCAGCCUGCCCAGUGACUACAAGUUCAACGGCCGCGGUAUUUUGACCGUGCAAAGGUAGCGCAAUCACUUGUCUCUUAAAUGGAGACCUGUAUGAAUGGCUAAACGAGGGCUUAACUGUCUCCCCCCUCCAGUCAGUGAAAUUGAUCUACCCGUGCAGAAGCGGG
rnacentral:rRNA from 1 species